rnacentral:rRNA from 1 species
UACAGAGGGUGCAAGCGUUGUUCGGAAUUACUGGGCGUAAAGCGCACGUAGGCGGCUUUGUAAGUCAGAGGUGAAAGCCCGGAGCUCAACUCCGGAAUUGCCUUUGAGACUGCAUCGCUUGAAUCCGGGAGAGGUGAGUGGAAUUCCCGAGUGUAGAGGUGAAAAUUCGUAGAUAUUCGGAAGAACACCAGUGGCGAAGGCGGCUCACUGGACCGGUAUUGACGCUGAGGUGCGAAAGCGUGGGGAGCAAACGGG